rfam:Cavia porcellus supercont2_8 genomic scaffold, whole genome shotgun sequence.
GCCGGGCGUGGUGGCGCGCACCUGUAGUCCCAGCUACUCGGGAGGCUGAGGUGGGAGGAUCACUUGAGUGCAGGAGUUCUGGGCUGCAGUGCGCUCUGCCGAUGGGGUGUCUGCACUAAGUUCGGCAUCAAUAUGGUGACCUCCCGGGAGCGGGGGACCACCAGGUUGCCUAAGGAGGGGUGAACCGGCCCAGGUUGGAAACGGAGCAGGUCAAAACUCCCGUGCUGAUGAGUAGUGGGAUCGCGCCUGUGAAUAGCCCCUGCACUCCAGCCUGGGCAAUAUAGUGAGACCCUGUCUCUU